AUAGGGCGAGGGUGAGAAACCGAACAGCUCGCCCGACAUAGGUUAUUUAUUGCUCAACCAUAGGAGGGUGAGGAGGACCAAAGAGAGAGGAGGGCGAUGCCAGUGCUUCUUUUUUUUUAAUUGAUGAAACUCCUAUGAAAGCAGGUGUGUGCUGCACUCACAAGAGACUGCCAGUGAUAUGCUGGAGGAAGGUGGAGAUGACGUCAAGUCUUCAUGGCCUUUAUGGGCACACAUGCUAUAAUGGAAAUGACAAUGGGAAGCAAGGCCGUAAGGCGGAGAGAAUCCAUAAAGAUUGCCUCAGUUCGAAUUGUGGGGUUUUCCACUGGUGUGAAGUCAUAAAAAGGUAGCAGUAGGGGAACCUCGGGCUGGAUAGAAUCCCUCUUUGCCUCUAGGACUAAUUUGUUCACAUAUAGCGAUGGUGAAAUUGCUUGCUUU
rnacentral:ncRNA from 1 species